AUUGAACGCUGGCGGAAUGCUUUACACAUGCAAGUCGAACGGCAGCACGGACUUCGGUCUGGUGGCGAGUGGCAAACGGGUGAGUAAUGUAUCGGAACGUGCCCAGUCGUGGGGGAUAACGUCGUGAAGAUUACGCUAAUACCGAAUACGAUCUAUGGAUGAAAGCGGGGGAUCGCAAGACCUCGCGCGAUUGGAGCGCCCGAUAUCAGAUUAGGUAGUUUGUGGGGUAAAGGUCCACCAAGCAAACGAUCUGUAGAUGGUCUGAGAGGGCGACCAGCCAGACUAGAACUGAGACACGGUGCAGACUCCUACGGGAGGCAGCAGUGGGGAAUUUUGGACAAUGGGCGAAAGCCUGAUCCAGCCAUUCCGCGUGCAGGAUGAAGGCCCUCGGGUUGUAAACUGCUUUUGUACAGAACGAAAAGGUUUCUACUAAUACUAGGAGCUCAUGACGGUACUGUAAGAAUAAGCACCGGCUAACUACGUGCCAGCAGCCGCCGUAA
rnacentral:rRNA from 1 species